GUGGCCGGAGUAUUACGUCCGAACUCGACUCGACUCACCAUGUUCGUGAAGUUCGUUCGGACCGAGUUCAACAGUCGCCUCUACCAUAACCACUGAUUCCCACGUUGUUUUGUGUGUGUUACUGGAGAAAUCCUGAUGUCGUCGGAAGAACCUAACUUCACCGGAGCCGUGGAACUCGCCGGAUUCGGAUUAACAAUUUCACUUCGU
rnacentral:lncRNA from 1 species